CUAGUGUACACAGGUGUAACAAUGUUGUAACAAUAACAAUGAUCCCCUACUGAAGAUGACUUAUGGUGCUUCUACAAAUGACAAGAAAAAGUCUGCACAUGUCCUGCAUGGAAAAGAGUAAUACUUACCAUGACUUGUCUAUGCUCUAUGAACCAAUGCAACAAUUUGCCAAAUGGAUUUAAAUUUGGAAAAAAGAGAAGGUCUGGUCAUGCUGUGGAACCACAUACAGCAUAAUCACCAGGUAUCAAGAGAGUGAUCCAGAAAUGGAGGCAGCAAAAGAACAGAGAAAAUCAAUCCCUAUAUCUUAUCCAGAAGAAAGUAAGAUCUCUGAAGGGAUUAGGAUCCUAUGUAUCCAAGCCACCCAAUGAGAGAAAUUGAGAUGGGUCAAAAAAUUAGUGAAAAAUAUCUACAUUAUAAUCUUCU
rnacentral:lncRNA from 1 species